GAUAGCUGCUGAAUUGGGAGCUGGAGCUGGAGGGGGUCCCGUAGACGCUUCAGAUCCAACUCCACCUGCGGACGCAGAGGAAAUGAAAAGGGAUCCCCUCAGUGUGAAGAAGGGCAGGACUUACCUUCAGGAGCAGCAGAAGAACACAACAGUCUCUGGCCAUGCCAUGAGGGGGCGCCCCUCCAAACCUGCAGAGAGGAACAGACAGUAAUUGUAGAGCUCCCCCCUUCAAGCACUCUCAUUUUACAAGUUCUAGAUUUCCCGCUGGGAGCUGAGCCACACCCAAGGAGGCAAGAUUAGACGACUGCGGCUGCGCAGUCGCGGAAAUCCAUUUCACAAAGCUUCCCGUGUCCCGUUUUAACAUGGCCCAAAAACAAAAACCACAGAGGGACACACAGAGAACAGGCAGCCAAAAGUAUCAGCGCGGUUUCCUGCACAGAUCCUGCAUUUGUUCAGAUCCAAAAACUCUUGCAUUCAUGCAUUCUGUUCUAAUGUGAGCGCUUGUUGUGCUUAGGUUGAUUCAAGACGGCCAGACGUUCCUGCCCAAUUCAAAGAAAAAAGCUGCUUCCUCCGAAGAAAAAAGGGAAACCCUCUUUCCUGCUGAAUAAUUCUCAUAACAGAGAUCAGAAACAGGACAUCCCGCUGCUUCAAAACACAUCUGUCAGCUUGACACUCGGCUCACAACAAGUCUGUACACAGCUGGAGAAUGCCUCCACGCAGGGCCAGAGGAACAUGCAUGCAUCCUCCUGUCUGCACGCUUUCACUGCAGAGGCACUCAGGCUCCGAGCAGCCUGUCAGUCAGGCGGGAAAUGUGUCUGCCAAUUAGAAGACAGAUGUCUAAUUCGAACGGACAAAGCCGGCGUCGAAAAGAGGAGACGACGACAGGAUAAACGAUGGAAACGCUGACAGUUACCUGCUGCCUAAACUGCAAGUCUGGGAGCUACAAGGAAGCGGCAGCGGCGUGUUGCUGAUGCAGCACACUGGUGUGCAAGCUUUAAAUGAGAGCUGCUGUCUCCAGUACAGGCCAAGUAUUGACUAUGCUUGGCCUGUAUGGUGUGCUGAGAUGGGGCUUUUUAGCCGCCUUGGAAUAUCUGCACAGUUUGCAGGGAUCUGCUCAUCUGUGCUCCGCUGCCGCUUGAAGCCAAGAAGGGAAAAGGUUUGAUGGUGAGACUCUCAAAGUCCAAAUCAUCCGACCCUGACGUCAGGAUGCACAUCCGUCUGUGAAUGAAAGCUUGAAUCACGCAUGCAUGUGUGAAGGAAAGCCUCACUCCAUCCCCCUCGGCACACCGCCACCUAAAUGCGGCCUGAAAUAUUUAACAGCAGUCAAUACCACAGCAACCUUGGAAUCAAUGUCACACAGAUAAGAGAGGGAAAGACACAAACACGCCGGCUUUGUGAGACGGACAGAUGAGCUGGCUGGAGGAGGAGGAGGAAGGAGGAGGUGUGACGAGGAGCAGCAGGGGAGCGGUGGAAAUAAUGAGGGCUUGAGUAACGGCGGGAGUCACGAGUACUUUUCUAACCAACUGUACCCCACAGCAGAGGAUCCCUCCCUGCUGAAACGUGACUCGUGUCAAGAGAUGGAGGCAAACGAGAGAAAGGAAAAAAGAAAAAAAA